AAAACAAUUAAUUUUGUAUUAUAGAUUAUACUUAUUCUUUUAUUCCCUCCUCCUGUGGCCUACCUGGCCUUAUUUGUAAUAUAGUAUUUACAUAUAUCACCUUUAAUGAUACUAACACGGUAACUGAUAAAAGAAACGAGAGUUUUAUGGAGCCAAGUAUAAGAUCUUGCUUAAGCAUAGUAGAAGAACUUCCUCUAAAAUAUGCUUCAUGGUCAGUAGAUGUUCGUAAGAUGUAUGAGCAAUACAAUAUUUAAAGUCAACGUUCACCGUACCGCUAACUGUCAAAUCUGUAUGUCGUAAAUCGCGUUAACUCAGAACAAACUGCGCUAUAGCGCUUUAAGGUAGAGCAUCAUUCUAAACCGCAUUUUUUUAGAAAUGAAAAACACUCUUAAAGUACCCCAAGUUGUAUGCAAGUGGAAAACCAGGCUGACAUAUCAUGGGAACCCAAAUAGUGACUCGCUUAAGCUAGCGUGAUUAGAUAUGUAUGUUCAUGUGAAUGACGCAUUUCGCAAUUACUGGAUGUGAACAUUACAAGAAAGAAGGAAGAUAUUAGUUCUGAAAAGUUCAAGGGAGCUCAAAUUGGGACGUUGAUGCACCGACGUGGCCGUUAUAUCGACUGAAAUAAAGAUUGUAACAUGACAGAAAACAUGUGGUCAAAUAAUACGAAUAAUUCCGGACCAGCGAAUAAACGCGCAGGAAACCCAGAUACAGGGUCCUUUAGAACUACGGCAUUGGGGGCACAUACAUUUCUUAAUUAUGCUGAUAGAAAAGCGUUCGGAAAAAACUCGCUGUCUACACAAGCGUUGAACAAGAAGGCGGGCGAAUCCACGAACCUUAUUCAUGUCAUACCAGCGCAGGUGUUUGAAGAUGCAAUACGUUAUGGCCAAAUCAAUAUAUUUCAACUGGAUUAUACAUAUUUUCAUCCGCCUAGCAGCAGUUACGUUAUUGCGAUCCCUGUGUAUCGAGACGGUUACAUCAAUUCUAUUGAUAGGCGUUGCUAUGAUCCUUACUUCUAGAAAUGUGUCACGUAAUACAAGUGAAAUAGAUGCAAAUAAUACAUGUAGUAUCGUAUAAACUAUAACCGUAAAGACAUUCACAAAAACAAGAAUUGCUAUUAUUAAAUUGUUUAUCUUGAAAAUGAAUAUUACAUAAUAUUGAAUGAAAAUAUAACCAGGUGUAAAUUAUGUUCAUAAAACAAGAAUUGUUAUUAGUAAAUGGAGUAGAAAUUACCUUCAAAUAUUAAGUACAAUGAAAUAGAUACAAAUAAUACAUGUAUUAUCGUAUAAACUAUAACCGUAAAGACAUUCACAAAACAAGAAUUGCUAUUAUUAAAUUGUUUAUCUUGAAAAUGAAUAUUACGUAUUAUUGAAUGAAAAUAUAACCAGGUGUAAAUUAUGUGUGGAACCUAAAUGUCUUCUCUAGUCUGUGAGAGCUUCAAUUUUCCAUUGCAACGUAAACAAGACAAUGUCUGUGUCUCUUUAUAUUUUAUGUAAACGAGUUAAAAAUGAAGCGUUUACACUUCGCGGCGAGAUCAACCAAGAGUUCCUACAGUUUUUGUCAUGACCACCCUAAGAACCAGCAUGUCUUCUGGGCCCGUAUUCACCAAACAUUUUUUAAACAAAAGCCAGAGAAAAACAAUAAUAUUCUUUAAAUUGGAACAUUCAAUAAUUACUUAAGUUUUGAGUCAAACUUGGCAUUAACCACCUCUAUCUACAUCACUCUUCAUGUUGAACAUUUUGUAAAUGACAAAAUUACCAGUGGUACCUGCAUAUAUUCAAAUACUGGACGUAUUUUUCUUGGUUCUCAGUCUAUUCUUGAUUCUUAGGUUUGAGAAGGGGUGGUGAAUACGGUUACUGGACGGAGCUAUAAUUGUUCUGCUUAAAGAGUCCUUUUUGUCCAAUCAGGUUUAAACCGGUAACUUUAAACGUAACGUUUCUACAAGAAAAUAUUACAUACCAAGACUAUUACAUGAAUAUAAUCUUGCAGUGGUGAGGAAUAGAGUAUUCCGAGUAUGUAUUAUAGAAUGAUGUGCAUGAGUUAUUGUGUUGUUGUUUUUUUGUUUACAUACAUUCAAUUCUGUAACAUACUGUUUAAUUUAUAGAAUACAUAUCAUGCAAUUUGACUGUUAGAUAUAUAUGAUAUUGGAUAAUAUUCGGCACUAAACUUUUAGCUCUUUUCUUUUUAAUACUUGCAUCUUCUUCUCGAUCGACGCUACUUGUAGAUGUAGAUGUAACGGGUGAGAGCCCCAUCUGUCCGUAGAGCUUCAUCCUAUGCUCAUAGGUUGCGGUCAUACAUUUCCCAUCUGUGGUCGUAGGUCCGCGCAUUCCUGGAGGAUAUGUUCAGACACAUGUUUGGCUUGUCCAGAUGAUAUAUACUUAUCUUUAUUCUCCAGCGCUCACUUUAUAUUCUCUGUACAUACUGACAAUCUUACACAUGUUUAUGUUAAGAUGUAUUAAAUACUAAAAAAAAUUUGCAAAUGCAUGUAUUUCCAAUUUAAACAGCUGGUAUGUUACUUAUAUUUUCUUUAAACUCAACCACGAUUACAUUUUCUACGGCUGA